rnacentral:rRNA from 1 species
UACGUAGGGGGCAAGCGUUGUCCGGAAUCAUUGGGCGUAAAGCGCGUGUAGGCGGCCCGGUAAGUCCGCUGUGAAAGUCGGGGGCUCAACCCUCGAAUGCCGGUGGAUACUGUCGGGCUAGAGUGCGGGAGAGGCGAGUGGAAUUCCUGGUGUAGCGGUGAAAUGCGCAGAUAUCAGGAGGAACACCGAUUGCGAAGGCAGCUCGCUGGGACGUCGACUGACGCUGAGACGCGAAAGCGUGGGGAGCAAACAGG